ensembl:snRNA U6 U6 spliceosomal RNA
GUGCUCACUUCAGCAGCAUAUAACCAAAAUUGGAAGGAUACAGAGAAGAUUAUCAUGGCUUUUGUGCAAGGAUGACAUGCAAAUUUGUGAGGUGGUCUAUAUUUUU